UCAACAUGAGAGUUUGAUCCUGGCUCAGAACGAACGCUGGCGGCAGGCUUAACACAUGCAAGUCGAGCGCCCC
rnacentral:rRNA from 1 species